rnacentral:rRNA from 1 species
GCCUACAACAUAGUGUUAAUGCACCAGAUCCCAUUAGAACUCCGCAAUUAAGCCUGCUCAAGCUAGAGUAGUAUUGGGAUGGGUGACCUCCUAGGAAGUCCUAAUUUUUUAUAUGCC